rnacentral:lncRNA from 1 species
UUUACGUAAAGUCGAAAAAUUUAAGUGUGUUGAAUUUUACUUAUUUUUUGCUUGCUUUCCAAGAGAAUCUUCAAUAAUCGGCGUCUUAAUGGAAAAGGUAGAAGGAAACUAUUCGUUGAGGUUUUAAAUCUAAGUUUAUCGCGGGAUUUUUAAAGACAUUCACCGGUUUCGUAAAGCGGUCGUUUGUUUUGGCGCAAUGCGGAAGUGUCGUCUUGAUGCAGUUUUUUGGCUAAAAAGUUGACGAAUUCUUCGUCUCACUACGUCUGUCAUUUGUUUUACGUUUGCCAUCAGUUUUAGGCAGUAACUGUUAGCUGUCGAGAGUACCGGAACAGACUGUGAUGUAUUUCUAUAGAUCUAAAUAUGGUUCGUAAAAAAGGACAUUUUGUCUGGCAUUCGGAAUUCCUACACUAGUGAUCCAUGAGGACUUUAUCCAGUUUCCAGAAUGGCAGGAAGGAAGGACUUAUUGAAUUGGACCACUUGACAAGGCAGCUUACAAAAGUCAGAAAUUUAAAAGCAGCCACUCGGCGACAGUAAAUUAAAGCUUGUCUACAUUUUCCAUAAAAUUUCCAAAAUAAAUACUGGAAAAAAAACAACAUGGAAAUACAUACGACAUCAACAAAAAAUAGCACAGCACCAGAAUGAAUGCGGAAGUUGUCAUGAGUGGUGUGGCAUUGUUCCUGUUCAUUUAUGGUUUACAGAUUCCAAAAGUCUGAACCAGAUAUGAGUAGAGUACAGUUUGAGAAAUGUCUUGGUAGAACAGAUACUAAGGAAAUAAUAAAGAGCAGAACAGACCACAUUUCUCCUUCUUAUAACUGGUAAAGUUCCAAGUAAGGGCGAGUACAAUAAUGCAGCCCCAGUGAGAGUUCGUGAUGAGGUGUCAGCUGUAAAUGUGUGGUCGUUAAAUGAUGUGCAGUCAGAUUGACAAGUAUUUGAAGUAACAUUAAUUUAUAAAUUAUCAAUUCUGAGAGAAAUUUUUGCUAAGCUUUGUGCAGGAAACUCUUAAAAAAUACGUGAACCAGAAUUUUAUAUUAUAAGUACAAUGUCAGAUGUACUCCGGACUUUACACAUAUGUUGAUGUUUAUACAUAUGUGGUGAUUAAUUUGUCAAGUGAAGAAAUUUUAUGACUAAUGUUAGUGGGUGACAGAACAGAAGUACAAAGUCAAUUACAGAGGUCGACAACACUGAGUUUAGGAUACAGAAAAAAUGCGGUGAUUCUGACG